rnacentral:rRNA from 1 species
GAUGAACGCUAGCGAUAGGCCUAACACAUGCAAGUCGAGGGGCAGCAUAGAGUAGCAAUACUCAGAUGGCGACCGGCGCACGGGUGAGUAACGCGUAUGCAAUCUACCUACAACAGGGGAAUAACCCGGAGAAAUCCGGACUAAUACCGCAUAAGACAGGGGUCCCGCAUGGGAAUAUUUGUUAAAGAUUUAUCGGUUGUAGAUGAGCAUGCGUUCCAUUAGGUAGUUGGUGAGGUAACGGCCCACCAAGCCAACGAUGGAUAGGGGAACUGAGAGGUUUGUCCCCCACACUGGAACUGAGACAAGGACCAGACUCCUACGGGAGGCAGCAGUGAGGAAUAUUGGUCAAUGGGCGAGAGCCUGAACCAGCCAAAUCGCGUGAAGGAAGACUGCCUUAUGGGUUGUAAACUUCUUUUACAGGGGAAUAAAAAGGCUUACGUGUAGGUUAUUGCAUGUACCCUGUGAAUAAGCAUCGGCUAACUCCGUGCCAGCAGCCGCGGUAAGAC